GCCUGAUCCAGACCAUGCCGCGUGAGUGAUGAAGGCCUUAUGGGUUCGUAAAGCUCUUUACGACUCAUGAGAUGAUAAUGACACGKAUCCUGKUAAAGGAACACCCCGGUCUAACUWCCGAUGUCCAGCAUGCCGCGGUAAUACGGAGGGGGUUAGCGUAGUUCGGAAUGUACUGGGCGUAAAGCGUACGUAGGCGGAUUAGUCAGGUCAGAGGUGAAAUCCCAGGGCUCAACCCUGGAACUGCCUUGUGAUACUGCUAGAUCUUGNAGKUUCGAAGAGAGGUGAGUGGAA
rnacentral:rRNA from 1 species